rnacentral:rRNA from 1 species
UACGUAGAGGGCUAGCGUUAUCCGGAAUUACUGGGCGUAAAGGGUGCGUAGGCGGUCUUUCAAGCCAGAAGUGAAAGGCUACGGCUCAACCGUAGUAAGCUUUUGGAACUGUAAGACUUGAGUGCAGGAGAGGAGAGUGGAAUUCCUAGUGUAGCGGUGAAAUGCGUAGAUAUUAGGAGGAACACCAGUAGCGAAGGCGGCUUUCUGGACUGACCCUGACGCUGAGGUGCGAAAGCGUGGGUAGCAAACAGGAUUAGAUACCCUGGUAGUCCCU